GAUGAACGCUGGCGGCGUGCCUAAUACAUGCAAGUCGAGCGAACAGACGAGGAGCUUGCUCCUCUGACGUUAGCGGCGGACGGGUGAGUAAGACGUGGAUAACCUACCUAUAAGACUGGGAUAACUUCGGGAAACCGGAGCUAAUACCGGAUAAUAUAUUGAACCGCAUGGUUCAAUAGUGAAAGACGGUUUUGCUGUCACUUAUAGAUGGAUCCGCGCCGCAUUAGCUAGUUGGUAAGGUAACGGCUUACCAAGGCGACGAUGCGUAGCCGACCUGAGAGGGUGAUCGGCCACACUGGAACUGAGACACGGUCCAGACUCCUACGGGAGGCAGCAGUAGGGAAUCUUCCGCAAUGGGCGAAAGCCUGACGGAGCAACGCCGCGUGAGUGAUGAAGGUCUUCGGAUCGUAAAACUCUGUUAUUAGGGAAGAACAAAUGUGUAAGUAACUAUGCACGUCUUGACGGUACCUAAUCAGAAAGCCACGGCUAACUACGUG
rnacentral:rRNA from 1 species